rnacentral:rRNA from 1 species
GACGAACGCUGGCGGCGUGCUUAACACAUGCAAGUCGAACGGACAGGCCCUGCUUUUGUGGGGUGCUCGAGUGGCGAACGCGUGAGUAACACGUGAGUAACCUGCCCUUGACUUUCGGAUAACUUCAGGAAACUGGGGCUAAUACCGGAUAUGAGCUCCUGCUGCAUGGUGGGGGUUGGAAAGUUUCGGCGGUUGGGGCUGGACUCGCGGCUUAUCAGCUUGUUGGUGUGGUAGUGGCUUACCAAGGCUUUGACGGGUAGCCGGCCUUAGAGGGUGACCGGCCACAUUGGGACUGCGAUACGGCCCAGACUCCUACGGGAGGCAGCAGUGGGGAAUAUUGCACAAUGGGCGGAAGCCUGAUGCAGCAACGCCGCGUGCGGGAUGACGGCCUUCGGGUUGUAAACCGAUUUCGCCUGUGACGAAGCGUGAGUGACGGUAAUGGGUAAAGAAGCACCGGCUAACUACGUG